rnacentral:rRNA from 1 species
UACGUAGGGCGCAAGCGUUGUCCGGAAUUAUUGGGCGUAAAGAGCUCGUAGGCGGUUUGUUGCGUCGGCUGUGAAAACCCGGGGCUCAACUCCGGGCCUGCAGCCGAUACGGGCAGACUAGAGUUCGGCAGGGGAGACUGGAAUUCCUGGUGUAGCGGUGAAAUGCGCAGAUAUCAGGAGGAACACCGGUGGCGAAGGCGGUUCUCUGGGCCUUACCUGACGCUGAGGAGCGAAAGCAUGGGGAGCAAACAGG